rnacentral:tRNA from 1 species
GGGGAGGUGCCAGAGUGGUCGAUUGGGGCCGCCUGCUAAGCGGUUACUCGGCUUAAAACCGAGUCGCAGGUUCGAAUCCUGUCCUCCCCG